rnacentral:rRNA from 1 species
GAUGAACGCUGGCGGCGUGCCUAAUACAUGCAAGUCGAGCGAACAGACGAGGAGCUUGCUCCUCUGACGUUAGCGGCGGACGGGUGAGUAACACGUGGAUAACCUACCUAUAAGACUGGGAUAACUUCGGGAAACCGGAGCUAAUACCGGAUAAUAUAUUGAACCGCAUGGUUCAAUAGUGAAAGACGGUUUUGCUGUCACUUAUAGAUGGAUCCGCGCCGCAUUAGCUAGUUGGUAAGGUAACGGCUUACCAAGGCAACGAUGCGUAGCCGACCUGAGAGGAUGAUCGGCCACACUGGAACUGAGACACGGUCCAGACUCCUACGGGAGGCAGCAGUAGGGAAUCUUCCGCAAUGGGCGAAAGCCUGACGGAGCAACGCCGCGUGAAUGAUGAAGGUCUUCGGAUCGUAAAACUCUGUUAUUAGGGAAGAACAAAUGUGUAAGUAACUAUGCACGUCUUGACGGUACCUAAUCAGAAAGCCACGGCUAACUACGUG